CCUACGGGGGGCUGCAGUGAGGAAUAUUGGUCAAUGGACGAGAGUCUGAACCAGCCAAGUAGCGUGAAGGAUGACUGCCCUAUGGGUUGUAAACUUCUUUUAUAUAGGAAUAAAAUGAUGCACGUGUGCCUUUUUGUAUGUACUUUAUGAAUAAGGAUCGGCUAACUCCGUGCCAGCAGCCGCGGUAAUACGGAGGAUCCGAGCGUUAUCCGGAUUUAUUGGGUUUAAAGGGAGCGUAGAUGGGUUGUUAAGUCAGUUGUGAAAGUUUGCGGCUCAACCGUAAAAUUGCAGUUGAUACUGGCAGUCUUGAGUACAGUUGAGGUGGGCGGAAUUCGUGGUGUAGCGGUGAAAUGCUUAGAUAUCACGAAGAACCCCGAUUGCGAAGGCAGCUUACUAGACUGUAACUGACAUUGAGGCUCGAAAGUGUGGGUAUCAAACAGGAUUAGAUACCCGAGUAGUC
rnacentral:rRNA from 1 species